rnacentral:sRNA from 1 species
GGAAGCCAGGAGGCAUUGCUGCUUCGGCGACCGGGCGGCGGCGGCGGCGGCGGCUGUGGCAGAGCCUGUGCCUGUGGCGGUGACGGCGGCGGGAGCAAGCGCUGCCCUCGCAGAGCAGCCUUGGGGUCGCCGGCCGCUCGCAGCGUUGUGGAGGGGCGGGCCGGACGCUGAGCGGAGCAGCUGCGCCACGGGUGGCAUUGUGUGUCCCAGAGUGCCGGAGCGAGUCCCAGAAGAGAGGCGAGGCUAAGCCCAGAGCGCUGGGUUGCUUCAGCAGGGAAGACUCCCUUCCCCCUGCUUCAGGCUGCUGAGCACUGAGCAGCGCUCAGAAUGGAAGCCAUCGCCAAAUAUGACUUCAAAGCUACUGCAGACGACGAGCUGAGCUUCAAAAGGGGGGACAUCCUCAAGGUAAGUGCUGAUGCCGAGCACAAUGCUGAGAUCGCUCUCCCUGUGCUCACCCACCUUCUUUCGCCCUGAUUACACACAAAGAAGCUGUGUUUUUCAUUGUACACUUUUAACAUUUACCAUCAUAUUUGUUCUGGAGAGCUUUAGAUG